GAUGACGCGCCCAGGCUGCUCGCCGCCCUCAAGGAGAUGAAGGACGGGCUCGACCUCGUCGGAGGCUCGGAGCCAAGGUCGAGUCGCUCACCAGCAAGGUACCCCCUCGCGGGCUCCCCGCCCGCCGGAAUUGGGAACGAUGAGGGAAUGGUAAUUCUGAGCUACUGCCAGGGCCUCGUCUACUACCUUCUACGCAAGGCCAAGGGGCUGCCCGUCGAUGGCCACCCCGUCGUGCGCAGCCUUGUCGAGAUCAGGCUGUUUCUUGAGAAGAUUAGCCCAAUAGACAAGAAGAUGGAGUACCAGAUUCAGAAGCUCACCAAUGCCGCAGAUGGUGCGGCUGCCCAGGAUAAGGCGCCGGACAAUGUUAAGGGCAGGCAACAAGGCGACGACGACCUGUUGGGGUACCGGCCAAACCUGGAUAUGAUGGAUAUCAAAAUUGCUCCUGAAGGGCAGGGCAAAGAUGGUGUCUACGUUCCUCCGAGAAUUGGGCCAGCUGCCAUGGAUGAUAAUCAUAGUAAAGACGCUAUAAGGAAAAAGAGAAGAUUAUUACGCAUGGCAACAGAGAAUCCUUAUUUCAAGGAGAUGACUGAUGAUGAUGCUGAUAGACCAGAAGAGUGGAAGGAGACAGCAGGUGACGAAAGCAAAGAAUUCAUGACCUACAUGCGGCAGAGAGAGAAGAAAGAGAAAGCAGAAGAGGAGCUGUUCACCCGAGCUCCGGUAACCAAGCGUGAAAAGUACGAGAAGCAGAUGAAGAAGCAGCUUCAUGGGUUACAAGGCCUAACUGACGGGUUCGACCUGGGGAUGAACAUGCUGCUUGAUGGAGAGAAGGAAGACGAUGGUGGUUCUAGUGAGCCGCGGAGCAAGAGCGGGGGCCGGAGAAAACACCAGAAAGGCGGCAAGAGGAAGCGACAUUAG
rnacentral:rRNA from 1 species